GGAGAGGUGCCAGAGUGGUUGAUUGGGGCCGCCUGCUAAGCGGUUGUACCUGUUAAGGGUACCGCAGGUUCGAAUCCUGUCCUCUCCG
rnacentral:tRNA from 2 species